AGUUGACAGGAGAGAUGAAAUCAGAACUACGUGUUCUCGUUUAGUUCGGAUUUCAUCUCUCCUGUCAACU